GUGGGAGGGAGAGAUUUUCUCCAUUGCAUCAAGAUUUGCCGGUGAAGAAGCUUCAUUUCUCGUUGUGGGGAGUCUUGGGACGGUGGGAAGCUUGGAGAAAGAGAGUUUUUUGGUUUUUAACACCAAGAAGGUAAGAAAUAACUCAUUUUUGCCGUUGAAUCGUUCAUUUCUCUUAUUUCCUACAUGUAUUUGUAUGUUUUUACUUGUUUUGUGAAGAUAUAAUGUCGGAUCCUGCAUGACAGUGGUGUACAAGGGUGAAUCCCAAAGAUAGAUUAAGAGUUAAGUGCAAUUAUUGUAAGCAAAUCAUAUCAAGAGGGAAGUAGCUUCUUGAUGCAGUGAAAGCAAGUAGGAUUGAAAAGGACAUGGAAGAUGCGGAGGAAGGAUAUGGGGACCCACAUGAAAGAGAAGAAAGUGAAGGUGAAGAUGUUCAACUUGAACAAGAAGAUGUUGGUGUCAGUUUGGGAACAACUAAAGGGAAAGGCAUCAUGCAUGGAGGUAGUUCUUCUGCAACUGCAACCAGAAAAAGAAGAGGUGCAACAAUAAGUUCAGUUUCACGAGGACGUGGCAGAAGUCAGGGUCGUACUGGUGGUGGUAGAGUACCUACUAUGAAGUCGAGCAAUAUGUCUGGUUCGAUCAAGAAUUUUUUUCCCAAUUAUACUGCUGCUGGUGCUCAGCCUGAGAUUCGUAUAGCCAUGCAAUCAAAGGAUAUUAUUGAAGCAGCAGAUGAAACCAUAGGAAGGUGGUUCUAUGAUGCAUCCAUUCCCUUCAAUGCAGCAAACUCUUAUCAUUAUCAGCCUAUAGCAGAUGCGAUUGCUAGUGUAGGGCGAGGGUAUAAAAUGCCCUCUUUUCAUAAAUUGCGAGGAUGCAGUGUAAUGGCAGAUGGGUGGACAGACAUCAAGAACAGAACAUUGGUAAACUUCCUUGUAUAUUGCCCUCUUGGUACUAUGUUCUUAAAAUCUGUUGAUUUGUUUGAUACUCCAUGUGUUGUUUGGGAUUUUUGAUAAAGUUAUAAAAGAAGUUGGGCCUGAAAAUGUUGUACAAUUUAUCACUGAUAAUGCAGCAAAUUAUAAAGCUGCAGGUGAAAUGUUAGCAGCACGAUAUGGGACAUUUUAUUGGAGUCCAUGUGCUGCUCACUGUGUAAAUCUUAUGCUUCAGGAUCUUGGUGAAAGGGAUGAUAUGAAGUUGACAGUUCACAGAUGCCAAGAAAUCACGAAGUUUAUUUAUAAUCAUGUUUAUGUCUUGAAUUUGAUGAGGAAAUUCACAAAUGGGGCUGAAUUGAUUCGACCUGCACAAACACGGUUUGCUACAAAUGUUUUGACUGUGCAGGGUGUAUAGUCAAGCAAAGAUCUUCUCUCAGGCAGAUGUUUUCAAGUGAUGAUUGGGCUGCAUAUCCACAUGCCUAUAAAAGAAAGGCUACGACAGUUGUGGAUACCAUCUUCGAUGUUGACUUUUGGGAAUCAUGUGUGCACUUAUUGAAGAUUUGUGUACCUCUAGUGAAAGUCCUCAGAUCAGUUGAUAGUGAAGAUAGACCUUCUAUUGGAUAUUUAUACGAGUCUAUGGAUAGAGCCAAGGAGGCCAUUAGAGAUAAUAUGAAGGGAAAAAAGAAGUUGUACAUGCCUAUAUGGAAGAUUAUAGAUGAAAGGUGGUCUGGACAACUUCAUCGCCCACUUCAUGCAGCAGCCUACUACCUAAAUCCUGCUAUUAGAUAUCUUCCCACUUUUAAGAAGGACAGAGAGGUCGAGUAUGGCAUGUUGGAUUGCAUUGAUGUAUUAGUAAGUGAUAGUAAAGAACAAGACGCUAUCCAUAUGUCGAUCAACAAAUAUGAUACGGCUUCUGGUACCAUGGCGAGAGACACAGCAGUUCGAUGCAGGACAACUAUGCGUCCAGAUUUGUAGUGGGAAAGGUUUGGGCUUGAUUGCCCAGAAUUAAGGAAGCUUGCAAUUAGAAUCCUCAGUCAAACAUGUAGUGCAACUGGAUGUGAAAGAAAUUGGAGUGUAUUUCAGCACAUCCAUAGUAAGAAGAGGAAUAGGCUGGAACAUAAAAGGUUGAAUGACCUUGUUUAUGUUCGUUAUAAUAUGAAGUUGAGACAAAGGCAACUAGAAACAACAUCUACGAGGAAGCAUCACAAUCAAUAUGAUCCUAUCUUCAUUGACCAUUUUGAUAUAUUAGAUUCUUGGGUUGAAGAAGAACCAGCUGCAAUACUUUAUGAGGACGAUCUUGAUUUUUUGAAUGUUGAAGGAGCAGCAGAGAUUGUUGAAGAAGGAGAGGCUGGGGGGGGGGUGCAAUGGAAUGUUGGUGACAUUCCAUUUGCAACAGAGGGGAUAGAAGAAGAAGUUAAUGAAGAAAAUGAAGAUGAUGAUGAAGAAUGAAGAUGAUGAUGCAAAUGACGAUUGACGAUGCUUUUUGUUUUGAGUUUUGAAAACUAUGUCAAUAUGUUCUGAGUUUUCACUUCUGAACUUAUGAAUUGUGAUGUAAUUGAAUACUCUUAGGUUGUUUAGUAUGUUAUUUUGUUUUUUGAAUGUUUGAUUUCUUAUUUUGGAAUGUCUUGUUCA